GGAGAGGUAUCGAAGUGGUCAUAACGGGGCUGACUCGAAAUCAGUUAGGGAGCAAUCCCUCGUGGGUUCGAAUCCCACCCUCUCCGCCA
rnacentral:tRNA from 1 species